CCCGGCAAGGAUAACCGGCGAACGGGUGCGUAACACGUGAACAACCUGCCCUCGGUGGUGGGGGAGUAGCCGGGCUACGCCCGGGUAAUACCGCAUACGUUCUUUCGGGGGAGUCCCUGGGAGAGGAAAGCUCCGGCGCACGGGGAGGGGUUCGCGGCCUAUCAGCUAGUUGGCGGGGUAAUGGCCCACCAAGGCGACGACGGGUAGCUGGUCUGAGAGGAUGGCCAGCCACAUUGGGACUGAGAGACGGCCCAG
rnacentral:rRNA from 1 species